UACGGAGGAUGCAAGCGUUAUCCGGAAUGAUUGGGCGUAAAGCGUCCGCAGGUGGCAAUGUAAGUCUGCUGUUAAAGAGUCUAGCUCAACUAGAUAAGAGCAGUGGAAACUACAUAGCUAGAGUACGUUCGGGGCAGAGGGAAUUCCUGGUGUAGCGGUGAAAUGCGUAGAUAUCUGGAGGAACACCGGUGGCGAAGGCGGCGUCCUGGACCAACACUGACACUGAUGAGCGAAAGCCAGGGGAGCAAACGGG
rnacentral:rRNA from 1 species